AGGCAAGGAGAAAAGAAAAGGUCGCAAAAAAGUGUAAGUCCCUAAAUGUAUUCAUUAUUUCUUAAUUGCUUACAUUUGUGUCUUGAACUUGUAAUUUUAAAUUCAAGACUAAGUGUAUUGAGCUUCCAACUCUAACUUCAUGACUAAAUAUCCUAAAUUUUUGAGCUUGUAACUCUAAGUUAAGGAUUAAGUGUCCUUAACUUUUGAGAUUGUAAGUCUAAGUUCAGGACUAAGUGUCCUUAACUUUUUAACUUGUAACUGUAAGUUAAGGACUACCUGUCCUUAAUUUUUGAAUUUGUAACUCUAACUUCAGGACCAAGUGUGCUUAAUUUUUGAACUUCCACUCUAAGUUCAGGACCAAUUGUCCUUAACUUAUGAGCUUGUUACUCUAAGUUCAAGACUUUAAUUUAUGAGCUUGUAAGUCUAAGUUCAGGACCAAGUGUCCUUAACUUUUGAACUUGUAACUGUAAGUUAAGGACUACCUGUCCUUAAUUUUUGAAUUUGCAACUCUAACUUCAGGACCAGGUGUCCUUAAUUUUUGAAC
rnacentral:lncRNA from 1 species